rnacentral:sRNA from 1 species
AAUAGGUUUUUAAGAUCAAUUAAUCCUAAAGCACUAUCAUGUCGUUGUAGUACUGAAGGUUGUCAAUCCAAAUGGGUGUGAUGCUAACAAUCAAGAUGUGAUCAGAAGUCACUAAGUCAAGCCAAGCAAUAACAGGUUUUGGUGUGUUCUAGCAGUCCUAAGUGAACAUGCAGAAAACAGAAAAUCAAACAGAAACAGUAGAACACUCGACCAACACAGCUCUUUGCAGAGCACUGAGUGAGGUCAGCUCUUUGCAGAGCACUGAGUGAGGUCGAGUGAAUGGUCGAGUAACAGACAGAAAAUGGAACAGGGUACUCGAUUGCACAGUCUGUUGCCAGACAACUGGGUGGUCGAGUACCAGGUCGAGUAACAGUAAAGAAUUGCAGAAACUAAGCAACAGGUGACAGGAUGCAGUAAACAGCAGUAGAGUAAACAAUAAAAUCAAUCAGACAAAGAAUUCCUAAGGAUGGGGUAAUUGAGUAGUUUCGUUUCCUCAGUUUACAGGUGAUUGACAUGCUCAAUAAAUUAACCCUAGACAACAAGUUCAUUAACCAAAUCUAAGUGCCACCGCAACAGAGACUCUCAAGCUAACCUAGUCCCAGACUCAAUCACCAUUGACGAGAGCUAACCUAACAGGCAUUAUGAAUCAACAAGUUAAAGCCAAAACGCUCCCUGCAACCAAUACCUUGGUACAGGGUCACGAAUCUCUGGAAUUAGUGGUUCAGACAUUUCAUCGAACACCUUUUGGGCGCGGAAAUGUCUGGGCUCAAAUUCCAGUUGAUCAGAAAGCAAUAGGCAUUAAGAACAACUAAUCCAGAAGGGAUCUAUCAAUCAAUACUCAAUCACCUAGCAUACUGAGAAUUCUACACUACUCUAACCCAUCCUCAGAAACCUAUUCACUACUCAGACAUCAUGACAAAAAGCAUAAACGUUGAACAGGUUGAAGACAUGAUAACAGCAGUAUGAUAACAGAAUGAACAACAGUAAACGAAAAUCAAGAACAGAAACAGAAUACUGAAUACUGAAUAGAUAAAGAGAAAUCCGGAUUACAAAAAGUCUAGAGCACAAGGUCUGCGGAAAUAAAAACUAGGUAAA